rnacentral:tRNA from 1 species
GGCGAGGUAGCUCAGUUGGUAGAGCAGCGGAUUCAUAAGCCGCGGGUCGUGGGUUCGAGUCCCAUCCUCGCCA